ACGAACGCUGGCGGCGUGCCUAACACAUGCAAGUCGAACGGGGUUACGAGAGCUUGCUCUUGUAACUUAGUGGCGAACGGGUGAGUAACGCGUGAGAAACCCUGCCUCUCAGUGGGGGACAACAGUUGGAAACGACUGCUAAUACCGCAUAACACUUUAGUACCGCAUGGUACAGAAGUCAAAGCUUUAUGUGCUGAGAGAUGGUCUCGCGUCUGAUUAGCUAGAUGGCGGGUAACGGCCCACCAUGGCGACGAUCAGUAGCCGGUCUGAGAGGAUGAACGGCCACAUUGGGACUGAGAUACGGCCCAGACUCCUACGGGAGGCAGCAGUGGGGAAUAUUGGGCAAUGGGGGAAACCCUGACCCAGCAACGCCGCGUGAAGGAAGAAGGCCUUCGGGUUGUAAACUUCUUUUAGCAGGGACGAAGAACGUGACGGUACCUGCAGAAAAGCAACGGCUAACUACGUG
rnacentral:rRNA from 1 species